GCACUACUGAUGAGCCUCAAACAGAGCGAAACAGCUGUCUAGUGC
rnacentral:hammerhead_ribozyme from 1 species